GACGAACGCUGGCGGCGUGCUUAACACAUGCAAGUCGAACGGAAAGGCCCUGCUUUUGUGGGGUGCUCGAGUGGCGAACGGGUGAGUAACACGUGAGUAACCUGCCCUUGACUUUGGGAUAACUUCAGGAAACUGGGGCUAAUACCGGAUAGGAGCUCCUGCUGCAUGGUGGGGGUUGGAAAGUUUCGGCGGUUGGGGAUGGACUCGCGGCUUAUCAGCUUGUUGGUGGGGUAGUGGCUUACCAAGGCUUUGACGGGUAGCCGGCCGGAGAGGGUGACCGGCCACAUUGGGACUGAGAUACGGCCCAGACUCCUACGGGAGGCAGCAGUGGGGAAUAUUGCACAAUGGGCGGAAGCCUGAUGCAGCAACGCCGCGUGCGGGAUGACGGCCUUCGGGUUGUAAACCGCUUUCGCCUGGGACGAAGCGUGAGUGACGGUAAUGGGUAAAGAAGCACCGGCUAACUACG
rnacentral:rRNA from 1 species